CGCUAUUCUGAAUAUCCGGUUGCAUCAAAACUACAUCAACAUUACACUUUCGUCUCGUUAAUGGCACGCCAUUUUAUUUCGUCUGCUCUUGUACCCCCGUCUUGACGAAGGUGGAGUUGAGCAUCACAAUCAUCUCGUCAUGAAGGACCAGCGAAAAUCAUGUUGAUGUUUAACAACGGUCAAUUGUUCUUCCUUCGCAGCAGGAAGUGGAUUUGUGUGAAGCUCAUGAAAAGUGAAUUCGUGAUUGCAAAUGCUUACCCUCGUUUCGUGCAGCACUAAUCGAAGAGAUCCAACUCGUAACAAGAGGGAUUGUUAAAAAAAGUGGUACGAACCGAUUCCGAUGCACGUGAGUCAAUUACUUUUACAAUAUCUCCCCCCACUUUUUUUGUUUUCCUAAAGAAAAUAAUUAGGAUUCUAGUAGAGAACGUAGUCGAGUCCUCGGACAUCGUACACGCUAGUUGAUAAGCAGCCGUUAACGAUAGAACUGGAAUCUAUUAUUCUUCCUUGGAAAUCGUUAUGGGGCUAAGGAAGCAGCAGCACGUGAUCUUCUCUCACCCCCCACCCUUUUCGCUAUCGUGCAGCUGUUAAGGUGAUGCUAACAUCUUAAAGAGCCAAUCGCUUCAGAGCCAAAGUUUUUUUUUUUUCCUUUUUUACUUGCUAGAAC